CAAAUCUAAACAAAACAAAGGUUUAAUUACAUAAAAAAAACUAAGACAAUUGACGAAAUUGGUGGCUUUGGUGUAAUUGCCACAACGCACCCACCCUUCCUUGGGUGCCCCAAGGGUAAUGUUGGAGGCACACCCCAUCUCCGGCAGACCGGAGUCUAUUCCUGGUGGAUUAGGAUCGGCUCAUUUCCCCGUCCUAGGUAACUCACACAAACAUUUCGGCAGUUCGUUUACAUUUAAUUUUGGAAACACUUAAGGCCGAUCAUAGACCGUCACCCAGAUUAGAAGUGGUCAAAGCGGCGACAACUCAGAGGAAAUUUUAGACAUUAAAAUUAUAAGUGUUCGGCAAAAUCGCCACUGAAAUAAAUUAUACGGCACCAAUUUGGAGGCGAUUGCCAACCGCGUCACCUAAUCCUGAGGAGCUUCAAGGGAAAAGAAAGGACGUGCUGAAAAGAGGUAAACAUAGUUGGACGCGCGGCUAGGGUGCGGAAACAAGCCUCUAAUUCCAGAUUAGAAUUCACAAGUUGAACGAGUUAUGGUCGAAACUGCAGCAAGAAGAAAGAGACCGCUAGCGGCGAAAACCAGCGCGAGUCCGCACGGAAUCAAAUGCUCCCGAGGAUAGCUCAGCGUCUGCGCCAGAGGGGCCGGAGGCAGUGCGUCGGUGGUCACAGAGAUGACCACGUAGUCAGCGCGGGUAUUCGUUCCCGAAACGGACUUACCGAGGGAAUCCCCGUAUGUGGCCGUCUCGGAGGCAGUUGCUGGAGGCUUUGAUGCCGCUGCUGUUGAUGCUGCUGAUCGCUGCUGCGUCUGCUGCUGCUGCUGAUCGCUGAUGCUGCUGCUGAUCUUCACACCAGGUUAGGUCCGCCAGCAACUGACGUAAAACCAUGACCUACACCGAAAUGGGUCAGUGAACG